UUUAAAUUUCUAAAAUGCACGUCAUAUAUUGUAUAUAUUUACAAUAGGUGUACUACACUUGUAGAGAUUUUUUUAAUUAUCAAGGUCAACUUCCGGAAACCAAUAAUAUAGUAUACAAGGAGACCACUUAUAUGUCAAAGUAGAGUAUUUUGUGCCACGAGUGUCAGGGCCUUUUUUUUUUUUUUAAACGAACUGUUCUUAAAAUUAGCAUCCAGUAAUUAAAACUGGUUGGACACAGAGCUCUAGGGAAGUUUAAAUAUAUUUAGCGAAUUCUCAUUAUUUCUAUCUUUCGUCACACUGGGUAAUCCUGGGAAAAACCUAAAAACGAACGUUGAAAUCCGCGAGUGCCUUGUGAAAAUCGUGAUCAGGCGAUUGUCGACUGCUCGUUCCUUCAGGUAUAUAUAAAGGCUCCGAGUCUCUGGCUCGUCCACUCAGCCCUACACGCAAUCAGCUGAGAACUUGCAAACAGAUCCGACAGGAUGGAAACUAAGGUCAUGUGUCUGGUUCUGGCCUUGCUGCUAGUCAUUAUGGAAAUAAAUGCUGUACCCGUACGGAGGGAUUUCCCGCUGGAAGAUUCUUGGUAUUCUGCAGAGGAUAAAAGGAGCAGCAACCAACGAAUACUGUGGCUGAAAAAAUGCGUGAAGGAACUUGUAUCCAAUAUUCUGUCAGACCAGUGCAGGCGUUAUCUGUUAGUCAGCAGAGGGGCGGGUACCGUUGUUAACAUGAGUUAGAUGCUGCCAAUGUACAUUUUCAAACAGUUUAAAUAAAAUGGGCAAGAACAGGGACUUCGACAUUUGUUUCAAUAGUAGCUAUAUUUCAGUUCAUUUCCUGAAACAUUUGUAUUCAAGUUCUAUUUGUGAUCAUUUAUAUGGAAUUUUACAAUCAAAUUGUUAAAUAUUCAAUUUUGUAUUUGGAAUUGUAACAAAGCAGAGUUGUGAAUGAUAUUUGAAUGAAAGAAUCUAGACACCA